AGCCUGUGGAAUUGCCCGGAGAUAAAACACUAAUGGCUGUGACGUCACGUAGAGAGCUCAGUGAAAGUCGCUCGUGAAGCCGCGGGUAAGAACGGGGGCAAGCCCGAGACGUAUUGGUAUAUUGAACAGUAUAGUGACGCCGCAGUGUCUCCACGAGCUGCCCAUCAUUAAUUUCACAAGUUAUCCGGGUAUUUGCAUUACAUGGUACUGGACCUGAUGCUCAGCGUAGUCUGUGAGCAGUGAGCUCCUAUUUGAUGUGGUUUCAUAUUGACUUCUUAUCCAUCAGUUUUGGGAAUAUUGUGAAACACAAUGGAAAGAGUCGAAAUGGGUAGAAGACGAAGAGAGAUCUAACUUGGAGACAGCGAAGAUGGACGUUUCCCAAACCGGCAGCCACUGUCUAGUUAGUGAUAUAUCUCAUGCGGAAAAUAUCGAGACAAAUUUCAUUUUACGCAAUUGCUGCAAAGUGUUCCGGUGGCGCAGCCGUCUCAUAUCAUACUAGCCAUCCCGGAGAGUGGGAAUCACAGAGUCACUGCGCUCCAAGCUCAGAGAAUCAUGUGCGGUGAAAAGCAGAUUAAAUUAAAGUGAGAAAAUGCCUCACUUCAAAUGAUGUGAUGGUCUAACGAUUUGAACUUUUCUCUCCAUUAUAGGCUAUCUGAAGAACGAAAGGGUUGCAUUAAUUUGGAAUUGAAGGGAUCAUAUAAAUUAUCUGUCAUGGAUUGUGCCUAUUUUGUAUUUUACUUUGAAUUUAAACCAACGGAGUAGCUUUAGGGAAUCAACUCACUUUUCUUUUAAACACUGGUGCAUUGGAUCAGAAUGGAUUUGUCAUUGUAGCCAACAGCUGCUGCUGAAGACCGCGCGCUCCGUCCGGGAUUUCUGACUUUUUUCCCCUCAACGAUGCAGCUCCUUCGACUAGCGUGGGCUUUAACCGGAGCCGCAGUCUGCUGUUUUGUUAUCCUCCUCAUUCACUCACACGUUCUAAAAGAAGGUCAGUUGGCAGCAGGUACGUGUGAGAUUGUCACUCUGGACCGGGACAGCAGUCAGCCGCGGCGGACCAUAGCACGACAGACGGCGAGGUGUGCCUGCAAGAAGGGACAGAUUGCCGGCACCACGAGAGCCAGACCGGCUUGUGUAGACGCUCUCAUUGUGAGAAGCCGGCAGUGGUGUGAGAUGACGCCUUGCUUGGAUGACGAGGGCUGUGACCUCUUAGUAAACCACUCGGGCUGGACCUGCACACAGCCAGGGGGCCGGGUGAAGACCACCACGGCCCUAUGACGACACACACACAAAGACACAACGCCUUGCCAGCCAGACAGACAGCAAAAGUCAACCACUUUUCAAGGACAGACAGGAGAGAAACAACAAACUGCAGAUCCUGGCAGGCUAGAGCGACACAGCAAGGUCUCCUGAUGAUGGCGGGGACAGACGCUCCCGAGCGAGAGAGAGGGGAUGGUGUGUGAGCUGCUUCCCAUAGUCCAUCGUCACCGCCUGUGUGGAGCAUACGUCGUCUUAUCAUCAGCUGUCCGUCUAUUGUUCUGUGCAGCAGCGUGAAGCCACGUAGAACCUACGUUGCCAAAGGCCCGGACUCCAAAUACAGGAGUUGGAGCUUAACAUGGAACAUAUGGACUCUGCAAUGCUCUAUUAUUCCUUGGGAGACAGAACUUAUUUUUCAGUUGAGUUUGGAGAAUUCUGAUGUGUGUCGUCAUGAACUUCUGGAUCUGACCCAACCUAGACUUUGGAGACAUGGGACAAAAUGUUUAUUUUGGAGUUUAUGCUUGGCAACUCCUCUGUAGUGAUUUUACAGACCAAAGAAAAAGAUAGCCGACUGCUCCAUAUUUUGGAGACACAGUGGACUUCGGGAUGAAGGGUUUAGAGACUUUUCCAAGUUGAUGAAACAUGCAAUCCCAUAUUCCCUCUCACCAUAUUACAGACUCUAGACAUACCCACAAAUGUACACAUGGUGAUAAAAGUGAUGUGUUGUGCAGAGUAAAUGUGUACAAAUGAAUGACGAAUACUGAAUGGAAAAAGUCAAGGGACGUUGUGUAAUUCGUCAAUGAUGUUUCUCUUGGACUACUAAACUGUACUUGUAUACUCACUGCUCUAUUUUGAACAUACAUUAAAUCAGAUAUACAUUUUCAAUUGCUAUAUUUGGACAAUUUGCAGUCAGCAUGACUGGUUAUAGUGAAAGAAACAAAUAAUUUCUCACCAGUAAAGAAUAGGAGGAAAAUAGUAAAUACAUCAUAUCUGUUUGGGGUAAAGAAACAUUAAAUGUAUUUUCAAAAGCCUAAAGUUAUAUAUUUAACAGUUUUAUAUGUUGUAUCUUUGUAGAAAACCUUAUUUAACACUGAAAAUGUGGUCACAUUGUGUAUCCACAGUUUAUGAUUGGCAAUGAGCUAUGUCCUUAACCUACUGGUCUCUUGUUCAUUUGAACAAGUUUUUUCAUCAUAAAAAGUCAAUUAUUUAACAUGAAUUGAAGAAAGAACAGAAUUAAAGCAUUCAGAUCAUAGUACAGAGCCCAUUUCUGAAAGGUUAUAUGUUCUACGUGUUCUACGUGUUCUACUUUUAUAGCCCCUCUCCAAUAACCUUUGUGGAAAUGUUGCACAAUUUGGGGUUUUACUUUUCAAACCACUUAAACUACAUUCAAUGACCAAGCUACUGCCAUUUUCAAUGGAAGGGGGAGACAUUUCGUGAGUUACUCAUUGGCGACUACAGUUUGCGACCAAAGCUCAGAAAGUGAUGAGGCUACUUUUGAAAUAGCCAAUGGGGGAGAGAAGCUCUCGCGCUAGCGAACUUCGACACUGCUGGUUAGGCUACCACCAACAUGCUGUUUUGCAUGCUGUUCAGAAGAAACACACUAGGAUAAUUUCAGCAACAUGGUACAGAAGGUCGCGAGCAGUAUGAACGUCCUGUUAGUAGUUCAACCCUAGUGGUGGGAUUAUGCCACAGCAUUGGAGUAUUGGAUCAAUGAGUGGCAAAUACGUACUCUAUUGUGGGCCAAUUUAAACACAACUUCUACCACUGUCUGUAGUCUCAAUGCAAGUUUUCUCUGGGAUUCUGUAAAGAUUUUACUUUAUAUCAGAGAGAAUUCAUGGGAAUAUCAUAUACAUAGGUGAACAUUGAUUUACAACAUAUCAUCCUACAGUAACAUCUCUAGACAAACAUGGAUUUAACUAAUUAUUUCCUCCUUAUUUCAACUGACUUUGUCAACAUAAUCCGGUUCCAUCGAUGUGGCUAAUUGGUAUAAUUAGUGAAAAAGUAUCAAUAAUAUACAGACUACACAUGGUCUACUUUCACAAUAUUUCCUGUAGAUUUUGAGUCUGGAAGACAUGAGUAUCAUGCUCUUUAGAUGCUGUUCGUACAUGGCCAUUUAAAUGCCUUUGUGCCAUCAAAGUAAAAUGACAUCAAAGAGGAUAUCAAAUCACUUGCAUAGAGUAUUUCCAUAUGACAUACAGUCGGGUCCAAAAUUUGUGAGCAAAAAACAAAUAAUAAAAAUACUAAGCUCUCAAAAAAUGUAUUUUGUUUUUAAAUAAACAGAACAUCAUAUACAGUGGGGUGUGAAAUUCUUGACACCCUUGAUAACGAUGAGAAACAUCACUGCAUAAAAUAAAUAUUUCUAAUAUUAUUUGGGAAAUUAUAUUACGUAAUACUAAACGCAAUUGCUCAGAGAAAGAGAUUUUGUUAAACAAGAAAUAUCUUUUUUUUAAAGAUCAUAAUUAUUGGCAACCUGGUUUUCAAUGUCUUUCAAUACCUCACAUUUCGACGUUAAUGGCAAUGAGCCUUUUUAUAAAAUGCUUUUGAGAUUGUAGAACACAUUGGGAGGGAUCUUAGACCAUUCCUCCAUACAGAAU